CUGGUAUGUAUGUUAUUUUUCUGCUUGCAUUGUCACAAAGUAGGCAAUUGCGACAAAUACACUAAAUGGAACAGACGCAGCAGUUUGCGCAGCAGUUCGCGCAGAAGGGCACACGAAGGUACCUUCGUUCCUGUUCCCUGUGGUGUACACUUCCUCAAGUAUGGUCGUGACACGCUGCAGAGCGCGUUCCCCAGCAGCUGUUGGAGUUGCUGUGUCAGAGGCCGCGACCCAGACCGACCCUCUGACAGUAGAUGCGGCUCUCCAGGUCUCAGGCUGCAGGGAGUGCUUGGGGCCUCUCCGGGAGGCCUGGGCUGGCAGUCAGCUCUCCUGCAGGAGGUGUGCUGCUGUUGGCGAGCUGUGUCGUCAGGUAAGGGAGUUACGGGAGGAGGUCAGUAGGCUGCGCAGCAUCCGAGAAGCGGAGCAAGAGAUGAUAGAGAGGGUAUUCUCGGAGACUGUGCAGCUUCGGGAGUCCCAACCCCUCACAGCAGUGGAGUUGACAGAGGGCUCUGUGCCGUGUGAAACGGUACAUCAUAACAUCGUAGAAGAAGACUGGAAACUGGUCACUGCUUGUGGGAGGAGAAAGGCUCCUACUCCUCCUGAAGACCUGAAGCUGAAGAACAGGUUUAGUGCCCUCCAGGAUGAGGAGGAGAUGGGCAUGGCUGCAAGGGGAGUAACUGGGACAACAGACCCUGUGCCUUGCCGGAACCCCCAGAAGAAGCGGCGGGUGAUUGUUGUGGGGGACUCCCUGCUGCAGGGGACGGAGGCACCUAUCUGCCGACCUGACCUCAUAUCUAGAGAGGUUUGUGGCCUGCCAGGGGCUCGUGUGAGAGAUGUCAUGGAAAGAUUGCCGAGGCUUGUCCACGCUUCGGACUAUUACCCACUGCUGCUCUUCCAUGUGGGUGCUAAUGACACCAAGGGCAAACUGGAGACCAUCAAGCAGGAUUUCAGAGCUCUGGGGAUGGUGGUCAAGGGUCUGGGAGCCCAGGUCAUCUUCUCCUCAAUCCUGCCAGUGAGGGGGAUGGAUGAGAGGAGGAGAUGGACUUUCCAAGUUAAUGACUGGCUGCGCYGCUKGUGUUGGCAACAGGGUUUUGGUUUCUAYGACCAUGGGACCCUGUYUGAAGAUYGACAACUGMUGGSGAGAGAUGGGRUCCACCUCACGAGGCGGGGCAUGCAUGUCUUUGCCAACAGGUUGGCCAACUUGGCAAGGAGGGCUUUAAACUAGGAAAGAUGGGGGAAGGGGAGAGUUACAGUGCCAGGGUAGUUGGCAAAAGACUGCUCAAGUCAGGACGCCUCCAGCAGG
rnacentral:lncRNA from 1 species